AUGGGGAUCUGGGGCUGGCCGUGGGGGCGGCGUGGGCUCUCGGGCUUCGGAUCCGCGUCCACCGCUGAGGACAUCGCCGCCGGCAUCGACGCCAGCCAUCUCACAGCCAUCGUCACUGGAGCAACAAAUGGCAUUGGCAAGGAGACGGCCAGAGUUCUUGCACUGAGGGGAGCAAACGUGAUCAUACCAGCAAGGACGCUCGAGAGUGGCCUGAAGGUGAAAGAGAGCCUCGCUGAAGAGGUCCCGAGCUCCAAGCUACAUGUCAUGGAGAUGGAUCUGAGCUCCCUCGACUCUGUGCGCACCUUCGCGGGCUCCUUCAACUCCUCCCAUAAGCAUCUGAACGUCCUCAUAAACAAUGCAGGAAUAAUGGCCUGCCCUUUCCAGCUAUCCAAAGAUGGCAUUGAGCUACAAUUCGCAACGAAUCAUCUCGGCCAUUUCUUGCUGACAAAUCUUCUACUUGACAAGAUGAAAUCAACUGCCAAGGAGACCGGUGUGCAGGGUAGGAUCGUAAACCUAGCUUCAACAGCUCAUAGAAGGAGUGAUGGCAAAGGCUUUGAUCUGAACAAGCUGAACAACGAGUCCAAGUACAAUGCAUUUAGUGCAUACUCACACUCCAAAUUAGCAAAUAUUCUCCAUGCAAAUGAGCUAUCCAGGCGUUUUCAGGAAGAAGGAUGUGAUCUGACUGCAAAUUCGCUGCACCCUGGAAUCAUCGGAACCAACAUCGUUCGCUACAUCACGACAAACAGUGUGCUGGCCUCGAUUUUCUCGCUGGUCAAGCCUUUUGUGAAGGAUAUACCCCAGGGAGCUGCAACUACCUGUUAUGUGGCAUUGCAUCCUGAUACCAGGGGUGUGUCCGGCAAAUACUUCGCUGGUUGCAACGAGGCGACGCCGACCUCCGUUGCAAGAGAUGCAGAGCUGGCCAAGAGGCUGUGGGCGUUUAGUGAAGAACUUGUAGAAAAUAGAUCAAAGUGA
rnacentral:rRNA from 1 species